UACGUAGGGGGCAAGCGUUGUCCGGAUUUAUUGGGCGUAAAGAGCGUGUAGGCGGUUAUGCAGGUCCGCUGUGAAAACUCGAGGCUUAACCUCGAGCUGUCGGCGGAAACCAUCUGGCUAGAGUCCGGAAGAGGAGAAUGGGAUUCCCGGUGUAGCGGUGAAAUGCGCAGAUAUCGGGAAGAACACCCGUGGCGAAGGCGGUUCUCUGGGACGGUACUGACGCUGAGACGCGAAAGCGUGGGGAGCGAACAGG
rnacentral:rRNA from 1 species